rnacentral:rRNA from 1 species
UACGUAGGGCGCGAGCGUUGUCCGGAAUUAUUGGGCGUAAAGAGCUCGUAGGCGGUGUGUCGCGUCGGUCGUGAAAACUUGGGGCUUAACCCUGAGCUUGCGGUCGAUACGGGCAUCACUGGAGUUCGGCAGGGGAGACUGGAAUUCCUGGUGUAGCGGUGAAAUGCGCAGAUAUCAGGAGGAACACCGGUGGCGAAGGCGGGUCUCUGGGCCGAUACUGACGCUGAGGAGCGAAAGCGUGGGGAGCGAACAGG